CCUACGGGAGGCAGCAGUGGGGGAUAUUGCACAAUGGGGGAAACCCUGAUGCAGCGACGCCGCGUGAGUGAAGAAGUGUUUCGGUAUGUAAAGCUCUAUCAGCAGGGAAGAAAAUGACGGUACCUGAUUAAGAAGCCCCGGCUAACUACGUGCCAGCAGCCGCGGUAAUACGUAGGGGGCAAGCGUUAUCCGGAUUUACUGGGUGUAAAGGGAGCGUAGACGGCAGCACAAGUCUGGAGUGAAAUGCCGGGGCUUAACCCCGGAACUGCUUUGGAAACUGCGCAGCUGGAGUGCAGGAGAGGUAAGUGGAAUUCCUAGUGUAGCGGUGAAAUGCGUAGAUAUUAGGAGGAACACCAGUGGCGAAGGCGGCUUACUGGACUGUAACUGACGUUGAGGCUCGAAAGCGUGGGGAGCAAACAGGAUUAGAUACCCGGGUAGUC
rnacentral:rRNA from 1 species